CCUACGGGUGGCAGCAGUGGGGAAUAUUGGACAAUGGGGGGAACCCUGAUCCAGCCAUGCCGCGUGUGUGAAGAAGGCCCUCGGGUUGUAAAGCACUUUCAGUGAGGAAGAACGCCUGGUGGUUAAUACCCAUCAGGAAAGACAUCACUCACAGAAGAAGCACCGGCUAACUCCGUGCCAGCAGCCGCGGUAAUACGGAGGGUGCGAGCGUUAAUCGGAAUUACUGGGCGUAAAGCGCGCGUAGGUGGCUUGAUAAGCCGGUUGUGAAAGCCCCGGGCUCAACCUGGGAACGGCAUCCGGAACUGUCAAGCUAGAGUGCAGGAGAGGGAGGUAGAAUUCCCGGUGUAGCGGUGAAAUGCGUAGAGAUCGGGAGGAAUACCAGUGGCGAAGGCGGCCUUCUGGACUGACACUGACACUGAGGUGCGAAAGCGUGGGUAGCAAACAGGAUUAGAUACCCUAGUAGUC
rnacentral:rRNA from 1 species